rnacentral:tRNA from 1 species
GCCGGGAUAGCUCAGCUGGUAGAGCAGAGGAC